rnacentral:rRNA from 1 species
GCAAGUCGAGCGAACGGAUAAGGAGCUUGCUCCUUUGAAGUUAGCGGCGGACGGGUGAGUAACACGUGGGUAACCUACCUAUAAGACUGGAAUAACUUCGGGAAACCGGAGCUAAUCCCGGAUAACAUUUGGAACCGCCUGGUUCUAAAGUAAAAGAUGGUUUUGCUAUCAGUUAUAGAUGAACACGCGCCGUAUUAGCUAGUUGGUAAGGUAACGGCUUACCAAGGCGACGAUACGUAGCCGACCUGAGAGGGUGAUC